GCCAAAAAAGGAACCAUUGGAGAGCAAAACAAAUAGUGUUACAGCAUUGAAAUGACUCUGUUUGGUGGUUAGAUGAAAUACUUUGCAUUAGUCAGCUGAAUUGAAAACAUAAUCAAACAGACUAAAUUAAAGACAGCCCCAUGAAACUGUGAGAGCCAAACUGAGCUAUGUGAGACAUGUACAACAUAAAUCAAAUACGGAAUUUCAGACUCGAUACACAGUGGUGAAUAAGUUAUCACGGCCCACAAUAAGGCUUAUAUGAUUCAUAAUUUUAUAUAAAAGAAAUCCUGGAAAAGCAGGAGAUCUGAGAAACUUAUAUCAUGUGAGCAUUCAGAUUAUGAUCAAUGCAUAUAGGCAAAGAGGAGUAGGAACAGCUUGUAGUGCUACUAUCUAUGCAGUCUCACCUCUAUGGAUAAAAAGAGGACUUCAGUUUUCAAAGCUCUUGUUGCAACCUAUCUCUGUUUGUAGUGAUGUGGUAAUUGUUGGUGAAGAGUGUUUUCAUUGGGCAGAGGACAAGUAGCAGCAUGACAGUUCAGAAGAAACUUCUCCCACUCUAUUCAAAGCACACGCCGUAUACUGGAAGUGCAUGGAACAUCUGCCUAAAGGAAGUGGGCAAACUCUGUCUGUGCAGAAAGAGGCUGGGAUGGAAUUUCUCAGGCCCCUCCUGCCUGCCUGCAGAAGAAGGGAGUUAGCUAAAUGAUUACAGAAGAGCCUGAGACAAAACAACAAACAGACAAAUGUACAAAUUAUCUUUCCAUCCAUCUCCUAAUUGCUUGUUGAAAACCGUCUAGGACUCGGUGAUCAAAUGCAGCACUGUUGCUAGAAUGGUGGUGAUUCAUGCAUCAGAAAUUCUCAUCCGCAAAAACAAUCAGCAACAUUGACAUACUCGGAGAUGCAUGAACAUGAGAGAGAGAGACAACGUUCUCAUUUACGUCUCCACUCCGAAUCCUGCAAAUCCUCUGCAUGCAGAACUCUGACUUCUAAACUUUAUGAGCCGUGCUUACUUUUACAAUGGGACAAACAUAUAAACACACUUCCACAUUAGGGCUGUUGGUAUGUAGAUUUAAUUCCAGAUUCAGGCUUAGAGACCGAGGAUCUCCUCAAAAGAAAACAAACAGUGACUCCUUCUGUCUGUCAGAUCUGACAAAGAAAUGUGUUUGUCCACAUACUGUCCAAUUUUGACCAGCAGCCAACGAUUUACAAACAAAUCCUAACAGUCUUGAGAGCUAACAAUAUUUACUCUUGCUGCAAAUGGAAGUGAAUUUUUGCUGUACUGCAAAAAUGGUAAGCUUCCACACAUUCAAAUCAGUGGUGGGCAGUUUGUGGCACAGGCGUCACAAGUGGCAUGGGCAGCCUCUGCAUAUGGCAUGCAGAAGACUGGGGAGGGGACAGACAGC